GACGAACGCUGGCGGCGUGCCUAACACAUGCAAGUCGAACGGUGAAGCGCCUUCCUUUUUGGUGGGUGUGGAUGAGUGGCGAACGGGUGAGUAACACGUGAGUAACCUGCCCCCUUCUUCUGGAUAACCGCAUGAAAGUGUGGCUAAUACGGGAUAUUCUGGGUCUGUCGCAUGAUGGGUCUGGGAAAGAUAUUGUUUCGGUGGGGGAUGGGCUCGCGGCCUAUCAGCUUGUUGGUGGGGUGAUGGCCUACCAAGGCGGUGACGGGUAGCCGGCCUGAGAGGGUGGACGGUCACACUGGGACUGAGACACGGCCCAGACUCCUACGGGAGGCAGCAGUGGGGAAUAUUGCACAAUGGGCGCAAGCCUGAUGCAGCGACGCCGCGUGAGGGGUGGAGGCCUUCGGGUUGUGAACCUCUUUCGCCAGUGAAGCAGGCCUGCCUCGUUUGUGGGUGGGUUGACGGUAGCUGGAUAAGAAGCGCCGGCUAACUACGUG
rnacentral:rRNA from 1 species